GUCAGCUAGUAUGAAUUUUGACAGAGUAUUGUAAUGUCUUAAAUUUUGUGUAAAAUUUUGUUCUAUCGCGACAAAAAUUAUGUGUGUUCGGAUCAAAGAAGUUUAAUUCAAGGCAAGACAGGUCCGAGAUAGGAGAAAUUAGCCUCAGUUUGGAGGAAUUGAUUUUUUGCUGAUGUGUGGAGGAUCAUAAGCUGCCUUCACUUUGAGAAUCGCUGACGUGGAGACACGUUGCAACGAAUCCAAUUAGAAGAUGAUUUGCCUGUCCCUUUACGCCUUGAUCGCAACCGCUUCAAUUCUGUCCUGUGUUCCAGUCUGCUACCGCCAACUGGGCUUGAACAAAUUCUUCAAGUGUCUUACAAAAAAAAGUCGCAAGUAGAGCGUUGAGCUGCCUACAAAUUUUGAUCAGUUUGGUUUCACCGGCUGAGCCCUCACAGAACACCGACAUGAAGUAACAGCGACCGCUGAUGCUGUCCGUUUUGUUCGGAUCCUCGGUUCACUUCAGCUUGCUGUAUAUGAUUUGUGUACCCGUUCUCAGUAUAAUUGGUGCCACUGCAUUCAUAUUUUGCGUACCAUUCUGCAUAAAAGGCUUCUUCGAGAAAAAGUGUGUCUGUCCGUCUGUACCCAUCUGUCCUGAGUGUGGUGUGCCAUAUUGACAGCAUGAGAAGAAGAACGAUUUGAAGCAAAGACGCAAAUAUAUUUUACAAAAUGAUAUGCAUGAGUUGUGCUACAGCUAUAGUGGCAGCAGGUGUUAUAGUAGGCGGUCCUAUUCUAUGUGAAAAACUUCUGAGAUGUGCAUUUAGUUCGAAGAAGAAAGCUAACUAAGUUGUGUAUGUACGUUGCUGAAGCGAAAGGAAGCUCUGAUGCACUCUGUAACUUAAUCAAAACCGAGGCCACUGCUGCUAUCCCAAAAUAAAACCUUUUCUUGAUAGUCAAAAAUUCAAUAGUAAUCUCUUAAAAUGGUACAUUUUUGUUACUUAUCUUUCAUGACCGGAAUAGCAGUAAUAACUGCACUAUUACUAUGUAGUAAGCUAUUGAAACAUGAUCACAAAAAUAUCCCUGAGGAAGUUAAAGUCAAACCGCAGUGGAAUAGUAGAUUAAAACAGCAAUUUAAAUUUAAACAAAUGCCUCAUUGAUUUAAUAAUAAAAAAAUUUAAAGUU